AAAACGUAUACAGCGAGUGGCCCACUAUUUUUUACUAAAUAAAAUAGGGGGAUACGAGGAAUGGGUGCCUUCUUUAUUAAGAGGACAAUCGGACUGGUCUUUAUACGACCAAGUAUCUGCGGAAACCCAUCGGUGGCGCUCCCCACCGUAAUUUUUGUGCGAAAACUCCAGUCGUAAGGUUGGAAAUAAAACACAAGAGAUGGAGCCC
rnacentral:ncRNA from 2 species